rnacentral:antisense_RNA from 1 species
GAAAGCACGACAUUGCUCACAUUGCUUCCAGUAUUACUUUAGCCAGCCGGGUGCUGCUUUUUUGC